rnacentral:lncRNA from 1 species
GAACCAUGGGGCGGAAGGGAGAGCGGCCUGAGGGGGGGGCGAAACCAUUCGCUCCAGGGAGAGGGGAAGACCAGAGAAAUGAGGCUGAUAGAGGGUAAAAACACUCAAAGAGGAUAUCCUUCCCCCCCUCAGUCUCAGAGAGAGACCCCUAAGGCAGCACUUUAUGCCGUCUUUGGGCCGCCUUGUUUCCCCCGGCGGUAUCCUCAYCGACCUCUUUCACUUCAGUGAAAGAAUCAGUGGAGAAAGGAGAGGUGCAGACCAGACAGCCCCAGAGGAAACUAUUGGAAAGUACCUGUGUGGGAGGCAGAGGCAGAAAUUAGACAAAAGRCAUCGUGCUGCUGGUGUUAACUCCCAAACCUACAUAGAUCCUGUCCACACUGCGGUGAAGAGUGGAGGUGCCUCGACACCAAAAGCAGUUUAGCUGUGGUAGCACAAACCUCUGUAUUAGCUGAUGAAUUCUGCUACCCUGCUCUGCAUGGUUGUUGCUACCCCUAGUGUCUCUCCCUGCGCAUAGUGCAAUACAGAGAGAGAAAAGACAAGGCUCCAGCUCUUAGAGAAAACUUACAGAUGUGAUCCCUGCGGGUUCCAAACAAGAAGACGUAAAAAUUAUAUAUAAUCAUUUUAAUAGUGUGCGCAUCCGUAUAUAUAAAUAAAUCGGAACUAUCCAAUUAGGUAUAUAUAGCU